rnacentral:lncRNA from 1 species
GUCGGGGGUCUGGUUUGGAUCCCCGGGUUACUUUCUGUUUCAUUUUGAAAUGUUCCCUGUUUCUGCAACCGGUUGCCUCCAAUGUCAAGUAAAACGCAGGACUCCUUGGAGACGCCAGCUGGGCUUCUAAGGACUGGGGCUCUGUGAAGAUGAGAAGGCACGAGUGUCUGCGUGUUUUGGACAGAAGGGUCAAUUGAACUGGUUUAAGC